rnacentral:rRNA from 1 species
GAUGAACGCUGGCGGCGUGCCUAAUACAUGCAAGUCGAGCGAACGGACGAGAAGCUUGCUUCUCUGAUGUUAGCGGCGGACGGGUGAGUAACACGUGGAUAACCUACCUAUAAGACUGGGAUAACUUCGGGAAACCGUAGCUAAUACCGGAUAAUAUUUUGAACCGCAUGGUUCAAAAGUGAAAGACGGUCUUGCUGUCACUUAUAGAUGGAUCCGCGCUGCAUUAGCUAGUUGGUAAGGUAACGGCUUACCAAGGCAACGAUGCAUAGCCGACCUGAGAGGGUGAUCGGCCACACUGGAACUGAGACACGGUCCAGACUCCUACGGGAGGCAGCAGUAGGGAAUCUUCCGCAAUGGGCGAAAGCCUGACGGAGCAACGCCGCGUGAGUGAUGAAGGUCUUCGGAUCGUAAAACUCUGUUAUUAGGGAAGAACAUAUGUGUAAGUAACUGUGCACAUCUUGACGGUACCUAAUCAGAAAGCCACGGCUAACUACGUGCCAGCAGCCGCGGUAAUACGUAGGUGGCAAGCGUUAUCCGGAAUUAUUGGACGUAAAGCGCGCGUAGGCGGUUUUUUAAGUCUGAUGUGAAAGCCCACGGCUCAACCGUGGAGGGUCAUUGGAAACUGGAAAACUUGAGUGCAGAAGAGGAAAGUGGAAUUCCAUGUGUAGCGGUGAAAUGCGCAGAGAUAUGGAGGAACACCAGUGGCGAAGGCGACUUUCUGGUCUGUAACUGACGCUGAUGUGCGAAAGCGUGGGGAUCAAACAGGAUUAGAUACCCUGGUAGUCCACGCCGUAAACGAUGAGUGCUAAGUGUUAGGGGGUUUCCGCCCCUUAGUGCUGCAGCUAACGCAUUAAGCACUCCGCCUGGGGAGUACGACCGCAAGGUUGAAACUCAAAGGAAUUGACGGGGACCCGCACAAGCGGUGGAGCAUGUGGUUUAAUUCGAAGCAACGCGAAGAACCUUACCAAAUCUUGACAUCCUUUGACAACUCUAGAGAUAGAGCCUUCCCCUUCGGGGGACAAAGUGACAGGUGGUGCAUGGUUGUCGUCAGCUCGUGUCGUGAGAUGUUGGGUUAAGUCCCGCAACGAGCGCAACCCUUAAGCUUAGUUGCCAUCAUUAAGUUGGGCACUCUAAGUUGACUGCCGGUGACAAACCGGAGGAAGGUGGGGAUGACGUCAAAUCAUCAUGCCCCUUAUGAUUUGGGCUACACACGUGCUACAAUGGACAAUACAAAGGGCAGCGAAACCGCGAGGUCAAGCAAAUCCCAUAAAGUUGUUCUCAGUUCGGAUUGUAGUCUGCAACUCGACUACAUGAAGCUGGAAUCGCUAGUAAUCGUAGAUCAGCAUGCUACGGUGAAUACGUUCCCGGGUCU